AGAUUGAACGCUGGCGGCAGGCCUAACACAUGCAAGUCGAGCGGUAGAGAGGUGCUUGCAUCUCUUGAGAGCGGCGGACGGGUGAGUAAUGCCUAGGAAUCUGCCUAGUGGUGGGGGAUAACGUUCGGAAACGGACGCUAAUACCGCAUACGUCCUACGGGAGAAAGCAGGGGACCUUCGGGCCUUGCGCUAUCAGAUGAGCCUAGGUCGGAUUAGCUAGUUGGUGAGGUAAUGGCUCACCAAGGCGACGAUCCGUAACUGGUCUGAGAGGAUGAUCAGUCACACGUGGAACUGAGACACGGUCCAGACCUCCGUACGGGAGCAGCAGGUGGGAAUAGUGGACAAGUGGGACGAAAGCCUGACUCCAGCCAUCGCCGCGUGUGUAGAAGUAGUCGU
rnacentral:rRNA from 1 species